GACGAACGCUGGCGGCGUGCUUAACACAUGCAAGUCGAACGGAAAGGCCCUGCUUUUGUGGGGUGCUCGAGUGGCGAACGGGUGAGUAACACGUGAGUAACCUGCCCUUGACUUUGGGAUAACUUCAGGAAACUGGGGGUAAUACCGGAUAGGAGCUCCUGCUGCAUGGUGGGGGUUGGAAAGUUUCGGCGGUUGGGGAUGGACUCGCGGCUUAUCAGCUUGUUGGUGGGGUAGUGGCUUACCAAGGCUUUGACGGGUAGCCGGCCUGGGAGGGUGACCGGCCACAUUGGGACUGAGAUACGGCCCAGACUCCUACGGGAGGCAGCAGUGGGGAAUAUUGCACAAUGGGCGGAAGCCUGAUGCAGCAACGCCGCGUGCGGGAUGACGGCCUUCGGGUUGUAAACCGCUUUCGCCUGUGACGAAGCGUGAGUGACGGUAAUGGGUAAAGAAGCACCGGCUAACUACGUG
rnacentral:rRNA from 1 species